rnacentral:misc_RNA from 1 species
AUGAUGUUAUGGGGAACAACUGUGAGGAUUUUGCUCUGUACUGCAAAACAGGUCUUCUGGUAAUGGACAAGCAGGGAGUUGGAAGAAGUGGUCAAGCUUCUUCAGUCAUUGGUGCUCCAUUAGCUGCUCUCCUGUCGUCCCCUUUAAAGUUGCUAAUGCCAAGCCCUGUUGGUGUUGCCACAGUAACAGCUGGAAUGUACUGUAUGAGCAGAUAUGCUACUGAUAUAGGUGUUCGGAGUGAUGUAAUCAAGGUUGCUGUGGAAGAUCUGUCUGUGACCCUUGGUUGGGCAGAUCAUCAUGAGGAAG